GCUAGCAUGGUAUAGUGGUUUGAGCACUGGACUAUGACUCUGGAGACCAAGGAUCAAAUCCCUGCAUGGUCA